UCGGGUGUGGUGUAGCGGUAACAUCGCUGACUCUCACUACCCAGUAGUGUACCCUCUCAGCAGCCCGGGGUUCGACUCCCCGCAUCCGAG
rnacentral:tRNA from 1 species